CAAGAGAAACCAUUUAAACCAUGAAGCCAAAACGUCCCAGAAUCAUAACUCUUACAUUUAAUCUGAGUUUUCAUUCAAUAAUCCACUCUUCCUUCAUAAUGAUUUCAUUAAUUUUUUGUCAUUAGAUCAAAGCUACUACAGGAGAGGGAAUCAGCUAUUACUCGAAGGCUCUAAAAGGGACUCUGAAGAUGAUUCUGAUCAUGAUGAUAGAUAUAAAAAGGUGACUGAUGAUGAGGAUGAGACUGGAUCUCUUAUCUUAUGGCUGAACUAGACCAGAUAAAUAAAUAAAGAGGCUCAGGAAGGAAAAGCAGCAGCAAAUGAAGAGCUAAACGCCAAAGAAGAGGAACUUCCCAAAGGAAACCCACUGCUUGACAACACUCCACAACUGUGUUUAGUGUCAAAAGAAGGCUCGCAUCUUUUUAAGUCUUGUUUCUUCAUGAGUCUCUGAAUUAUAUGAAUUUUUGGAGGCACAUAUUAAUCUUUUAAGUUUCCUCUUUUUUCAGGUGGGAUGAUGAUGUGGUAUCGAGAAUCAGGCACGUGGGGAAAUGAAAUUAAGCACCUGAGCACUUCAUCAGUAAUACAAUCAAGAAUUACUUCCACAAAAAGUUCCACUUUUGCAUUAACGAAUGACUCAAUGUGUUAAAAAAUUAAUUGAAUUGAACUGUUCUCUGUUUUUGUUUUUGAGUGCAGGAGGUCCUUGAGAUAAAAAGGCAAACGAGGAAAGUAGGCUUUUUUAAUUAUAUGGUCUACCACCAGAAGCAAUCAAUCUGAUUGGACCAUAAGAAUCUUCAACCACAGAAGGUAAUGGUUUUUUCAAAUACAUAUACUAACCAGCUAUAGCUUUACAUCAGUAAAUUCAGGACAGUGAUCGAAAUGUUGUCCCAGUUCAUACACAUGCAUUUGGUUUCUUUGAUCGGGCAUUGCAGUGAGAACAAUAAAAGGACCAUUGUGCAUGAGUUGGAUCGCUCAAGGUUGAGCUGGAGACAGAAGCUUGAGAUAUGACUUGGUGCAGCUAGAGGCCUGCACUAUAUCCAUACAGAUUCCGCAAGAGGUAUCAUCCACCGCGAUAUGAAGUCUGAUAACAUUCUCUUCGAUGAGAAUUUCAUGGACAAAGUUUCAGAAUUUGGAUUGUUUAAGACGUCCAGAUCCUGACCAGACACGUGUGAGUACGACGGUAUAUGAAGAUUCAUUAUCUUGAUCCAGACCAGUACAAGAUAACAAUUGACUGACAAGUCUGAUGUUUACUCUUUUGGGUAAUGCUUGAAGUACUUGAGGGAGACCAGAUCCAUCUAUUCCAAAAGAAGAGUCUUUAAGUUAUUGUAGUAUUGUUAGUUCAUGAGGGAGGAAAGCCCGCAUUUCUUUUUUAACCUAUUGCAUACAGAUUAUUGUUAUACUUUCAAGAUAUUUAUUUUCAAAUAGUCUCUUUUGUGUGUUUGUGUAAAAGCUUAAAGCAACUAGGUCUAGGUAUAUAAAACGAGAAUCGAAAAACAAACCAAACCAGAACCAAAAGGGAUCCAAAAUUUGUUACUCAGUUUCUACUAUUGUUAUCCAAACUUGAACAAAAACCAAAAUAGCAAAUUUAUAAAUAACCGAACGGUAACCAAUAUCUUUAGAACCAGAAAACCAAUAAAAAUCAGAAUCGAACUGAAAACCAAAUAGUAUAGAGGCAACCAAAGUGUUUCAUGUUGCGUUUAGACAAUUAACAAUGAAACUGACUAUUUAUGAAUUUCAAUUUGUAUGUUAGUGUUUUUGUUCCGGUUGGACAACAAUAGUAGAAACUGACUAAUAAAUUUUGGGUCUACUUUGGUUCUGGUUUGGUUUGUUUUGAAACAUAAUUUUGUUGUAAAAUAAUAUAGAUUAAUUGUUAUUUGUGAAACUAUUGAAACUAUUUAUACAUUACAUUAAAAUAUAACUUUUUAUAAUUUUAUUACAUUACAUUAUAUUUUCAAUUGAUUUAUCUUGGAAGUGGAUUAAUUUAUAAUCGGGAGACAAUAAUUAAUUGUAAUAGUAUUAUAAUUAUACUCUUAGAAACUUUUUUAAAAAAUGUUAUUCUUACUUUAGAUUUUCUUCAACUAUAUCAAAGUGAAAUAGAAAUAAAAUAAGAAAUGUAAAUCAUUACAUUUUCUUAAUUUUUUAAUUUCAUAAUUUUUGUAUUCUAUAACUAAAAAAUGGUAGAGGUCUUUUCAACUCAAACGAAAAAAUAUUAAUAAAUACAAUUUCAUAUUUUUUUAAAAUAUUAUAUUUAUUAUUUUAUUUUAAAGUAAACUUUCAAAUUUUUUUAUAAAAUUAAUAUAUAUUUUCAUAUACAAUAGUUUUAGCGUAAACUUCCCCGCCCGUAGGGUGGGCCAACCACUAGUAUGAAAUAUAUAAGAGAUAUAAGAAAUUUCAUAGAUAUUUGAAAAAAGUAAAGUGUUAUAAAUUUAAACGAACGUUAGCUCCAAUAUUUAUGCAAAAGUAGUUAUUGUUUUAAUAAAUGGUGAUGCAAAAGUGUAUAUAUUGGUCUACGGGUCAGUUACGGUAUUGAAUAUUAAUUGUUUUCCAUAGUUAGGAACGAUAAUAUAAUACUUAUCCAAUUUGCUUAACAUUUCUUGCGUGAAUGUUGGGAAAUCUAGCAAUGAAACAUAUUUACACAAUAUUUGUUUAUAUUCAAUUAAUGUGUCCCUAUACCUUAAGUUUGAGGACUAUAUAUAACAAACUAAACUCAUUCCUCCAGCAUCACUACCAACCUAAAUCUAAACUGCGACACUAAACAAAAACGAGUUCUAUGAACUCCAUCUUUGAUUUGAGAACGUAAGCAGGUGGUUUUCAAAUAUGUGAGGAGCUAUGAAUGAUGUUCUCACAUUUUAUUUCACCCUAAACUUCCAAAGAAUGAAACUUUCAAAAAAGUAAGAAAUAAGAACAUUUUAAUCCUUCUUAAUUAAUUCACUUUUAUGGUUUAGGAUAUAGUUUUUUCCUGACGACGUUAAAAAUAUUUUUUUUGUAAUUACUAUUAUUUAUUUAUUUUUAAUCUUUUAUUUUAAAAAUAUAAUAUAACUUGACAAUAUUUGGUUUCUUUUUAUAAAAGAUAUCGGAUAAAAAACAACACAAUCCUAUUGGUUGAUGAACCCAAGAAUAAGUAUUUUCUGAAUAAUUGAGUUUUUUUUGUUUUUGCAAUGUGGUGUUGAUGUUUUCUCUUUUUAUGAUUCUGCGGUUUUUAGCCUUCUAUCUUCGAGUUUAAUUGAGGAUUAUCUACUGUUAAGUUAUCUUGACAGAAAUAAACUAUAAUAAUGUGUUAUUUUUAGUUGUGUAGUGUCUUCGGUUAAGAAACAAGAAUAAAGAACUAACCUAACUUAAUCAAUUUAAAAA